GCGAGCUUAGCUCAGUUGGGAGAGCGUCAGACUGAAGUCAAACUUCAUCAUCUAUCUGAAGGUCGUGUGUUCAAUCCACACAGGUCGCA